GAGUGCAGANGGGGAGAGUGGAAUUCCAUGUGUAGCGGUGAAAUGCGUAGAUAUAUGGAGGAACACCGGUGGCGAAAGCGGCUCUCUGGUCUGUCACUGACGCUGAGGCUCGAAAGCGUGGGUAGCGAACAGGAUUAGAUACCCUGGUAGUNCACGCCGUAAACGCUGAGUGCUAGGUGUUAGGUCCUUUCCGGGACUUAGUGUCGACGCUAACGCAUUAAGCACUCCGCCUGGGGAGUACGACCGCAAGGUUGAAACUCAAAGGAAUUGACGGGGGCCCGCACAAGCGGUGGAGCAUGUGGUUUAAUUCGAAGCAACGCGAAGAACCUUACCAGGUCUUGACAUCCCGAUGCCCGCUCUAGAGAUAGAGUUUUACUUUUUGUACAUCGGAGACAGGUGGUGCAUGGUUGUCGUCAGCUCGUGUCGUGAGAUGUUGGGUUAAGUCCCGCAACGAGCGCAACCCUUAUUGUUAGUUGCCAUCAUUAAGUUGGGCACUCUAGCGAGACUGCCGGUAAUAAACCGGAGGAAGGUGGGGAUGACGUCAAAUCAUCAUGCCCCUUAUGACCUGGGCUACACACGUGCUACAAUGGUUGGUACAACGAGUCGCAAGCCGGUGACGGCAAGCUAAUCUCUGAAAGCCAAUCUCAGUUCGGAUUGUAGGCUGCAACUCGCCUACAUGAAGUCGGAAUCGCUAGUAAUCGCGGAUCAGCACGCCGCGGUGAAUACGUUCCCGGGCCUUGUNC
rnacentral:rRNA from 1 species